rnacentral:rRNA from 1 species
UGUGAGUCUGAGCGCGACCGACGCGGUAGCUUGCUCCCUUAGGUCAGCGGCGGACGGGUGAGUAACACGUGGGUAACCUGCCUGUAAGACUGGGAUAACUCCGGGAAACCGGGGCUAAUACCGGAUGCUUGAUUGAACCGCAUGGUUCAAUCAUAAAAGGUGGCUUUUAGCUACCACUUGCAGAUGGACCCGCGGCGCAUUAGCUAGUUGGUGAGGUAACGGCUCACCAAGGCGACGAUGCGUAGCCGACCUGAGAGGGUGAUCGGCCACACUGGGACUGAGACACGGCCCAGACUCCUACGGGAGGCAGCAGUAGGGAAUCUUCCGCAAUGGACGAAAGUCUGACGGAGCAACGCCGCGUGAGUGAUGAAGGUUUUCGGAUCGUAAAACUCUGUUGUUAGGGAAGAACAAGUACCGUUCGAAUAGGGCGGCACCUUGACGGUACCUAACCAGAAAGCCACGGCUAACUACGUGCCAGCAGCCGCGGUAAUACGUAGGUGGCAAGCGUUGUCCGGAAUUAUUGGGCGUAAAGCGCGCGCAGGCGGUUUCUUAAGUCUGAUGUGAAAGCCCCCGGCUCAACCGGGGAGGGUCAUUGGAAACUGGGGAACUUGAGUGCAGAAGAGGAGAGUGGAAUUCCACGUGUAGCGGUGAAAUGCGUAGAGAUGUGGAGGAACACCAGUGGCGAAGGCGACUCUCUGGUCUGUAACUGACGCUGAGCGCGAAAGCGUGGGGAGCGAACAGGAUUAGAUACCCUGGUAGUCCACGCCGUAAACGAUGAGUGCUAAGUGUUAGAGGGUUUCCGCCCUUUAGUGCUGCAGCAAACGCAUUAAGCACUCCGCCUGGGGAGUACGGUCGCAAGACUGAAACUCAAAGGAAUUGACGGGGGCCCGCACAAGCGGGGGGAGCAUGUGUUUAAUUCGAAGCAACGCCGAAAACCUUACCAGUCUUGACAUCCUUCUGACAACCCUAAAGAAAGGGCUUCUCCCUUCGGGGGCAAAAGGA